UACAGAGGUCUCGAGCGUUAGGCGGAAUCACUGGGCUUAAAGCGUGUGUAGGUGGAUCGUUAAGUACCUUGUGAAAUCCCACGGCUCAACCGUGGAACUGCUUGGUAUACUGGCGGUCUUGAGCCAGCUAGGGGCUACCGGAACAAAUGGUGGAGCGGUGAAAUGCGUAGAUAUCAUUUGGAACGCCAAUGGUGAAAACAGGUAGCUGGGGCUGUGCUGACACUGAGACACGAAAGCCAGGGGAGCAAACGGG
rnacentral:rRNA from 1 species